CCGUGCUACGCGGGACGCUAGGGGUGUCCUGUAGCCCGAAACCCUCUACAGGCGGGGCGGAAUGCCCGUCGAAGGGUGUUGAGAUGGCGAGGCUAUCGGUCGGCACGUGGUGUCGAGAGUCGGGUCCUACGCAGCGGAACCUUCGUGAACCGGGUCAGGUCCGGGAGGAAGCAGCCCUAAGCGGACGGUUCCGGGUGCCGUGGGGGUGCCGGGCUGGAGCCGGCGACCGGUCGGGGCCUCGGAUCCGCAUUCGACGGCGGGCUGCACGG
rnacentral:SRP_RNA from 1 species